CGUGUGUAGCAAGGGCCCGUACCGUAAACCGACACAGGUGGAUGAGGAGAGGAUCCUAAGGCCGGCGGGAGAAGUGUUGUUAAGGAACUCGGCAAAAUGACUCCGUAACUUCGGGAGAAGGAGUGCUGCGCAAGCAGCCGCAGAGAAAUGGCCCAAGCAACUGUUUAGCAAAAACACAGGUCUAUGCGAAACCGGAAGGUGAGGUAUAUGGGCUGACGCCUGCCCGGUGCUGGAAGGUUAAGGGGAGAGCUUAGCGCGAGCGAAGGUUUGAACUUAAGCCCCAGUAAACGGCGGCCGUAACAAUAACGGUCCUAAGGUAGCGAAAUUCCUUGUCGGGUAAGUUCCGACCCGCACGAAAGGCGUAAUGAUUUGGGCACUGUCUCAACAACACACCCGGUGAAAUUGAAAUACCAGUGAAGAUGCUGGUUACCCGCGCCAGGACGGAAAGACCCCAUGGAGCUUUACUCCAGCCUGAUACUGGGAUUCGGUAUUGCAUGUACAGGAUAGGUGGGAGGCUAAGAACUCAUGGCGCCAGCCGUGAGGGAGCCGAUGUUGGGAUACCACCCCUGCAGUACUGGGUUUCUAACCUGCGCCCGUGACCCGGGCGGGGGACAAUGUCAGGCGGGGAGUUUGACUGGGGCGGUCGCCUCCGAAAGGGUAUCGGAGGCGCUCAAAGGUCUCCUCAGGAUGGUUGGAAACCAUCCAGAGAGUGCAAAGGCAGAAGGAGGCUUGACUGCGACACCGACGGGUGGAGCAGGUACGAAAGUAGGACUUAGUGAUCCGGUGGCAUAAAGUGGGAUUGCCAUCGCUCAACGGAUAAAAGCUACCCUGGGGAUAACAGGCUUAUCACUCCCAAGAGUUCACAUCGACGGAGUGGUUUGGCACCUCGAUGUCGGCUCAUCGCAUCCUGGAGCUGGAGCAGGUUCCAAGGGUUGGGCUGUUCGCCCAUUAAAGCGGUACGCGAGCUGGGUUCAGAACGUCGUGAGACAGUUCGGUCCCUAUCCGGCGCGGGCGCAGGAUAUCUGAGAGGAGCUGUCCUUAGUACGAGAGGACCGGGAUGGACCGUCCGCUGGUGGACCGGUUGUCAUGCCAAUGGCACGGCCGGGUAGCCAAGACGGGAAGGGAUAAACGCUGAAGGCAUCUAAGCGUGAAGCCCCCCUCAAGAUGAGAUAUCCAGACUCGAAAGAGUGAGAGACCCCUUAGAGACGAUGAGGUAGAUAGGGCAGAGAUGGAAGCACAGCGAUGUGUGGAGUUGACUGUUACUAAUCGGUCGAUAGCUCA
rnacentral:rRNA from 1 species